rnacentral:rRNA from 1 species
AUUGAACGCUGGCGGCAGGCCUAACACAUGCAAGUCGAACGGGACGCGGACGGGUGAGUAAUGUCUGUGACACUGCCUGAUGGAGGGGGAUAGCUAAUGGGAGCUAUAGCUAAAUCCGCAUACCAGCCGCUGUGCCCGGAUGGGAUGAGGUUGUUGGUGAGGUAACGGCUAACAAAGGCGACGAUCUCUAGCUGGUCUGAGAGGAUGACCAGCCACACUGGAACUGAGAAACGGUCCAGCCUCCUACGGGAGGCAGCAGUGGGGAAUAUUGCACAAUGGGCGCAAGCCUGAUGCAGCCAUGCCGCGUGUAUGAAGAAGGCCGUCGGGUUGUAAAGCACUUUCAGCGGGGAGGCGUUACCCGCAGAAGAAGCACCGGCUAACUCCGUGCCAGCAGCCGCGGUAAUAC